rnacentral:rRNA from 1 species
AGAGUUUGAUCCUGGCUCAGGACGAACGCUGGCGGCGUGCUUAACACAUGCAAGUCGAACGGAAAGGCCCUUCGGGGUACUCGAGUGGCGAACGGGUGAGUAACACGUGGGUAAUCUGCCCUGCACUUCGGGAUAAGCCUGGGAAACUGGGUCUAAUACCGAAUAGGACCUCUUGGCGCAUGCCUUGAGGUGGAAAGCUU